rnacentral:sRNA from 1 species
AGUCGCAACCGCAUCAACAACAUGCACCUAGACAUUGAGAAUGAAGUCAAUAAUGAGAUGGCCAAUCGAAUGUCCCUCUUCUAUGCAGAAGCCACGCCAAUGCUGAAAACCCUUAGCAAUGCCACAAUGCACUUUGUCUCUGAAAACAAAACUCUGCCAAUAGAGAACACCACAGACUGCCUCAGCACAAUGACAAGUGUCUGUAAAGUCAUGCUGGAAACUCCGUAAGUUAAAUCAGAGAUGUAUUCAUGGUUGAGACUUCACCCAGCCAGUGUCUGUUAAGAUGAUGAUGUUAAUGAUAUGCAACAUUUGGGUCAACACCCUAAAGUUUUCAUGUAUAUUAUCUGCUUUAAUUUCACUAAGAACUCUGAGUGGUAGGUGUCACUAUCACUACUGCAUAGCUGAAGAAGCUGAGGCCCAAAGUGGUUGACUGACUUCCCAACAACUGCAUAGCUUGUCAGGUGGCAGAACCAAGGCUCAGAUCAAAGAUGCUGUAGAAGAUGUGUAAGAACCAAAUGGAGGGUGUGUUAAAUGAUGGGACAUCAUGAUAAAUAUAU